AGCUGGUCUCUCCUGCAUGUGUGACUUCCACAGCCAGCCUGAAGCUGCAAACUUGCUGGGAGGCACAUACUAUCCAGACCCUGAGAAAUCAAGGGAGACAUCAGUAAAGCUAUGUGGAUUCCACCCCUCCAGCAGGACCUGAGGGUCUGGGAGCAGAGGCCAGAUGGACCCUUGAGUGAAGAGAAGUCUUCCCUAAGCCCAGAUGCCACC